GUCUUUUUGAGUUAUUUUUAAAGUCUGACCUGCCCACUGAUAAAUUUAAAUGGCCGCAGUAUUUUAACUGUGCAAAGGUAGCAUAAUCAUUAGUCUUUUAAUUGAAGGCUGGUAUGAAUGGUUGGACGAAAUAUAUACUGUUUCAUAUAAAAUUAAAUUAGAAUUUUAUUUUUUAGUUAAAAAGCUAAAAUUUUAUUAAAAGACGAGAAGACCCUAUAAAUCUUUAUAUUUUUUUAUAUUUAAAUUUUUUUGAUUUAUUUUAUUUUUUUAUUUAAAAAUAUUUUGUUGGGGUGAUAUUAAAAUUUAAAAAACUUUUAAUUAUAAUUAAAUCAUUAAUUUAUGAAUAAUUGAUCCUUUAUUAAUGAUUAUAAGAUUAAGUUACUUUAGGGAUAACAGCGUUAUUUUUUUUGAGAGUUCAUAUCGACAAAAAAGUUUGCGACCUCGAUGUUGGAUUAAGAUAUAUUUUUAGGUGUAGCUGCUUAAAUAUUAAGUCUGUUCGACUUUUAAAUUCUU
rnacentral:rRNA from 1 species